UACCUGGUUGAUCCUGCCAGUAGUCAUAUGCUUGUCUCAAAGAUUAAGCCAUGCAAGUCUAAGUACGAGCUCUCGUACAGUGAAACUGCGAAUGGCUCAUUAAAUCAGUUAUGGUUCAUUUGAUCGUACAGUUUACUUGGAUAACUGUGGUAAUUCUAGAGCUAAUACAUGCGAGAAGCGCCGACCUCGCGGGAGGCGUGCAUUUAUCAGACCAAAAACCGGCCGCGUCUUCGGGCGCGUUCGCCUUGGUGACUCUGGAUAACUUUGCGGAUCGCACGGUCUAGCACCGGCGACGGAUCAUUCAAGUGUCUGCCCUAUCAACUUUCGUCGGUACGGUAUUUGCCUACCGAGGUUCUUACGGGUGACGGGGAAUCAGGGUUCGAUUCCGGAGAGGGAGCCUGAGAAACGGCUACCACAUCCAAGGAAGGCAGCAGGCGCGCAAAUUACCCAUUCCCGACGCGGGGAGGUAGUGACGAAAAAUAACAAUGCAGGACUCGUUCGAGGCCCUGUAAUUGGAAUGAGUACACUUUAAAAGCUUUAACGAGUAUCCAUUGGGAGGGCAAGUCUGGUGC
rnacentral:ncRNA from 1 species